rnacentral:misc_RNA from 1 species
AACUUUUAACAACGGAUCACUUGGUUCCGGCAUCGAUGAAGAACGCAGCGAAAUGCGAUAAAUAAUGUGAAUUGCAGAAUUCAGUGAAUCAUCGAGUCUUUGAACGCACAUUGCGCCCCCUGGUAUUCCGGGGGGCAUGCCUGUCCGAGCGUCAUUACUGCCCUCAAGCACGGCUUGUGUGUUGGGCCCCGUCCUCCCCCUCCCGGGGGGACGGGCCCGAAAGGCAGCGGCGGUACCGCGUCCGGUCCUCGAGCGUAUGGGGCUUUGUCACCCGCUCUGCAGGCCCGGCCGGCGCCAGCCAACCCCCCAACCUUCUUCUUCAGGUUGACCUCGGAUCAGGUAGGGAUACCCGCUGAACUUAAGCAUAUCAAUAAGCGGAGGCU